AUGUAGAUAUCCUGGUGGUCAACAAUUCUUUUAAAAUUACAUUUUGUUUUAUUAUUUAUUAUAGUUUUAUUAUAAUGCAUAUUUAUUUUCAAUGAGUAUAUGUUCCUAACAAAGGGUAUUUGUAUAUUUUUUCUUAUUGUUUGAGAAAUCUGUGUAUCUAUACAAUGUGAUUUUUUUAAAUAUAAUUUUAAAUUUUCUUGAAAAUACAAUUUUUUGUACAACAUACUCUGAGCAUAAUUUAUCCUCUCCCAGCUCCUUCAAGAUCUUCCCACCUUCCUAACUACUCAUCCAUACCACUUUUUCUCUCUACUAGAAAACAAAUAGGCAAAUCCAGAAUAGGACAAAACUACAAGAAAAAAAAAGAGCCAAAGAAAAAGUGUAAGAAACAUGUUCAGAUGCAGAAACAUGCAUACACUUGCACACAUAGAAAUCCUAUUUAAAAAAAAAUUGGAGACCAUUCUAUGUAAGCAAAAGAUCUGUAAGGUCAAAAUGUGCCCAGAUAAGGCAUUAUGAAACAAAAACCCUCCAAAAAUAACAUUGAGUUUGUUCUAUGUUGACCAUUUGAGCACCCUGCCUUUAAGUGUGGUUUUAUACCCAGUGAGAGUACAUUAGAGAAAAUUAAUUUUUCUUUUGCAAAUGAUUGUCAAUUGGAGAUAGCUUCUGGGUUAAGGAUGGGAGCCCAUGUCUACCUGAACAUCUCUGCACAGGGACUCCUUCUGGCUUACAGUGCAAGCCCUGUGCAUGCUGCCACAGUCUUCUAGUUCACAUCUGCAUCAGCUCUGACUAUAAGGCCUUGUUUCCUUGGUGUCAUCCAUGCCUACUGGUUCUUACAAUCCUUCGACCUCCUCCUCUGCAAAGUUCCCUGAACUUCAAAGGGAUUUGAUGGAGAUGUACCAUUUAGGAUUGAGUGUUCCAAGGUCUCUCACUACACAUAGUCCAUCUGUGGAUCUUUUUGUUCCCAUCUGCUUCUGGAGAAAGCGUCUCUGAUGAUGGUCAAGUGGGACACUGGUCUAUGAGGAUAGAAGAAUGUCUUUAGGAGUGAUUUUAUUGCUAUGGUCCUUUAGCAGGACAGUAGUAUUUGGUAAUUUCUGUAGGUCCAUGGCCUAUCUAGCCUCAGGUUCUUGGCCACUGGAGCAGUGACAGAUGUGUUUCAUCUCAUAACGUGGGCCUUAAAUCCAGUCACACAGUGGUUGGUUACUCCAACAACUUUUGUGCCCUAAUUGCAUGUGUUUAAAAUAAUUGGUGGCUGGGUUAGUAUUUACCUGUAUCUUCUGAUGGUGUGCAAAGUACCGUUGAGUACCAUGAAUACUAGACAGUAGGAGGAUAAGCUCUAAGUGGGCACCACCUUGACUUCUCUGUGUUCACUGAGUUAUUACAAUGUGAUUUUAAUUGAAGUCAUUCCCACUCCCUCUACUUCAAUUCCUUUCUUACCUCCCCCCACCAUAUCUUCUCCCAACAUCAUGUCUGUGUUAUGGGGUUUUGUUUUGUUAGGUUUUGUUUUUCUUAUUUUUUCUCCCAUUAAAUCUGAUCAGUGCUGCGAGUAUGUAUACGGGUCACGGCAUCUACUGAAGCACGGAUAGCUUCUCGGAAGGGAGCCCCAUCCUUGAAGAAAAGUCAUUCUUUUACCAUUCAUCAAUUUCCAGUAGUUGCACAUCUAGGGCUGAGACUCUCUGAUCACCUCCCAUCUCCAUGUUGGGAUGUUUGUUUGGUUUGAUCUUGCGCACGUACAACUGUUGUGAGCUUAUGUGUCCAACUGCCCUGUUCUGGACAGACUAUUUUCAUGUAGUAUUUUUGCCUCUGGCUCUAUAAUCUUUCUGCUGCCCUUUCUUUGCCCAUAACCUUAGGAGCAGGGGUGCUGUAGAUGUCACAUUUAGGGCUUAGAACUGCAGACUCUCAUUCUCUGAAUGUUGACCAAUUGUGAGUCUCUCUGUGAAUUCAUAUACUGAUAAAAGAAGAUUGUCCAUUGAGGGUUGACACGCUAAUUUAUUGCUUUAAAGAUAAGUCAUUAUGAGUGAAUUAAAUAUACAUUUAGGAGAAUAAUAAUAGUAGGUUCUCCGCUAGGGCCUAUGGCCUAUCUAGUCAUAGGUACUUAGCCCUGUAAUAGUGCUAGGUUGAGUUCCAUCUAAAAACUGGUCUAGUUAUUUGCAGUUUUGG
rnacentral:lncRNA from 1 species